rnacentral:lncRNA from 1 species
GGCCUUCUGCGGUCGAUGUCACCAGCUUUCUAGCCAUCGCCGCUCCAUUUUUCAUUUAUCCAUUUGUUUUGUCGUGUUCCCUGCACACCUGGUUUUCAUUCCCCAAUCACACUACAUGUAUUUAUUCCUCUGUUCCCCCUCAUGUCUUUGUGUGUAAUUGUUUGUGUUACAUGUGUUGAUAACUGGGAUGUGCAGGUGAGUGAGCCGGUCAAGGAUCGAUUCGGACAAAGCGGUAGAUUGUAUGACAAGCGACAGUUUAUUCAGAGUGAAGAUAUCUGGUACAGCGUGUAUACGGGCCCGUUCAUUCAGCUCAUAAGGAACCUCCAGAAAGAAGCCCCGCUAACAGUGUGCACAUGUAUUAUAUACAGAACAGAAAGUAGGUUGAUUCUAGAAGAUCGGGUCUUCGGAUUGGUUCAGGCUGGAGUGUAGUCUUCUUGUAUUGGCUCAGUUGGACCAUCUGUCAUCAUAGAGUCUCGUCGUACCUGUCCUUGGUCACACAAUGUUCAGCUAAAAAGGAGAUUAGGUGUGUGCGUGUGUGUUCCUCUUUCUCAGGGUUGGGGUGCCUCUGCAGCUGGUGUUUGUCACGAGAUAGUGUAUCAGACUCAGCAACCCCUCAAUGGCGCUUUGUGGUUAGGCCGCUCGCUGUUAUGUAGAGAACAGGAUGUUCCAGUGUCUGUGUGUGUUGACCUUGAGUAUGUGUGAAGGAGGGUGUAAAGUGUUAUAGCAGCUCAGCUUGUGGUAAUAGGGCAAAUAAGGUAAAACUAAACUGCGUUCUAUUAAUCUUCUACACAUGUCAAUUUUGAUGCGCUAGACUGGUGUUCAUUUGUUCCGUGUUUUAUUCACGAGGUAUGUUUAUUUGUUUGAACAUAAUUAUUGUGACUGUUUGCGCGUGUUGUACUUUUGCAUAUUGGCUGGAGUCCGUCUGUUGGUUUCUCCUGCCUAAAUAAAGUGUGCGCCUGUUCACAACUCUCUGCUCUCCUGCACCUGACUCCGCUCCCAGUACGCACACCAUUGACACAAAUAGGAAUGGCAAUAUCGUCCACUGUUAUCCUCAGUAAUUUUCUAUCCAAGUUGUCAGACCCCGGCGGCUUGUCAUUGUUGAUAGACAACAACAAAACAUUUCACUUCUUCCACACUCACUUUACAGAAUUCAAAAUGACAAUGCUUGUAUUUCAUAAUUUGGGCAGAUCUAUUUGGAUGUGUAGUGUCAGCGUUUGAUGCUGGCAUGUCAUGCCUAAAUUUGCCAAUAAAAAUAUAAUUCACAUAGUCUGCAAAAUAAGUUGGUUUUGUGAUGAAUAAGCCAUCUGAUUCAAUAACUUUUUCCCCAAAAUGUCAUUUAUGGUGCUUCAAAGCUUUUUACUAGCAUUCUUUAUUUUGUUUAUCUUUGUUUCAUAGUGUAGUUUCUUCUUCCCUUUAUUCAGUUUAGUCAC